UACGUAGGGUGCAAGCGUUGUCCGGAAUUAUUGGGCGUAAAGAGCUCGUAGGCGGUCUGUUGCGUCGGCUGUGAAAACCCGAGGCUCAACCUCGGGCCUGCAGCCGAUACGGGCAGACUAGAGUUCGGCAGGGGAGACUGGAAUUCCUGGUGUAGCGGUGAAAUGCGCAGAUAUCAGGAGGAACACCGGUGGCGAAGGCGGGUCUCUGGGCUGAUACUGACGCUGAGGAGCGAAAGCGUGGGGAGCGAACAGG
rnacentral:rRNA from 1 species